AAAUUGAAGAGUUUGAUCAUGGCUCAGAUUGAACGCUGGCGGCAGGCCUAACACAUGCAAGUCGAACGGUAACAGAAAGCAGCUUGCUGCUUUGCUGACGAGUGGCGGACGGGUGAGUAAUGUCUGGGAAACUGCCUGAUGGGGGGGGAUAACUACUGGAAACGGUGGCUAAUACCGCAUAACGUCGCAAGACCAAAGAGGGGGACCUUCGGGCCUCUUGCCAUCAGAUGUGCCCAGAUGGGAUUAGCU
rnacentral:rRNA from 1 species